GCAUGAGGUUUACGCCCCUCCCCGCUCGCCGUCGGCCCAUCUCGGCCCCUGACCCUCCACCGCCACUGACUCCCUCUCUUGCCACCGAGGGAAUUCGGAUCUAGGAGCACCAUGCCACUACAGCUCUCCCUCGCCCACGAUUGGCCCCCGGCCCGGGAGAUGCCGACGCCCAUCGCGACCGCGGUUUUCUCCCCCAUGUCCUUGGCCUCUUCCUCCACUCUCAUCCUCCCUCCUCCCCCCGUUCUCGGAUGUUCUCGUCGCCUCCGCCGCGCGUUCCGCUCUCCCCACAGCCCUUGUCCGCCGCAUCAUCCUCGGUCGUUCUCGGCGUCCCGCUCCACGCCCGCCCUCGCCCAACGACCCUCGCCGCACCCCCUCCCUCGUCCUCGAUGACUCCCCCUCUGGCCCCAUCCUCGUCGGCAUCGGAGCCUGCUCUCUCCGUCAUGGGGGAGGGGAAAGCAAAGGAGGAACAAGAGCCAAGCAGUUAAGCUAGCCCGGUCGCUUGCCUUCCACCAAGAUCCCCCGAGACCUCAUCGACGAGGAGAUGGAGAUGGAGUCCAGCCCCGCCGCAUCGCCCUUUUCGUAGAGCCGUCGCCCUGCGCCUACGCUUUUGCAGCUCCUCGGCAUCGCAAUCGCUACCUCCCGCGAUGCGCCCUUGGAUCCACUUCUCAUGCGACGCCUCUGAUCGACAAGCACGUCGUGCGUCCGCACCGCCUCCCUGACCGGCAAGCACGUCAUGGCUCCAGGCACUUGCAGCCUCCACGCUUCUUCGGCCAGCGAGCACGCGACCACGCCUCCCACUGUUCAGUCGUGGUGGCUCCAGGUGCUUCUUGCCUCUGUGUCUCCCUGACUGGCAAGUGUGUAAGGAGGGACCUCCCCUGCCCUAGCUCCAAACAGAAUUAGGGAAUACGGUCAACCUCCCAUGGCUACUGCCGUGUAGGCGAUCUGACAGUCCACAAAAACCUAAGAUUCGGCACCAAGUCACUAACCGAAGGAAGGUCGAGAUGAGGAAGGAUGUGAUUUGAUCUCGAAUAUCAACUACAUCUGUCUAGCGUCGAGACACAUCUACGCCAGAAGCUGAUGGUUGUGGGUAAAACAUUUUUGUUCUGUAAUCCCCAGGCUAGCAAGUUUCACUUAAACAAAGGUUCAGGCUUUCGUUGUUUGCAAGUUGCUGCUGUUAUCGGGUUGGGUGGCGCAGGAGAAAACAGUGAUCCCACUGCUCAAUCUAUCGAUCUAUGAGCCAAACAAGACACAAACCAUGGAACAAGUGGAUUGUCUGCAUCUUACCAUUAAUGUUGAAGAAUGGUUGGAUGACAAAGGCCAAGGAGAAUGCUGCAGCUAUGUUAUUCAGAUUAUAUGUGGUCCAUGACAAUAAAAAAGAUAAUGAAUGAUCCAGAGAAUGUGAAUGUAUGCAUAGCCUUUUAUUCGAGUCAGCUAUUAAACAGGCUAAACUAUUGUUCAAGUGAGUAGAGGUAUUUUGCAACACUUAAAUAAUGGGUAGUGCCUUAUCGUUAUAGUUUCCUAACAUAUUUUUAUGUACCAUGCAUAAUUUCUUAUCUGAGUUGUCACCUGCAAGUUUCUCAGCAGCUUAUCUCUUCAUCAUUGAGUCAACCUUGUACAUUAUGCAGAAAAUGGUUGUCUUUUUUAUGCGAUAAGGCUGUCUGGAAUGCUAUCACAAA